rnacentral:rRNA from 1 species
UACGGGGGGGGCAAGCGUUGUUCGGAGUUACUGGGCGUAAAGGGCUCGUAGGCGGCCAACUAAGUCAGACGUGAAAUCCCUCGGCUUAACCGGGGAACUGCAUCUGAUACUGGAUGGCUUGAGUUCGGGAGAGGGAUGCGGAAUUCCAGGUGUAGCGGUGAAAUGCGUAGAUAUCGGGAGGAACACCAGUGGCGAAGGCGACUUCCUGGCCUGUUCUUGACGCUGAGGCGCGAAAGCUAGGGGAGCAAACGGG